CUGAGUAUGUGUUUUCAUAAAGACAAAGCAUUCUAUUUCUGUACGUCACUCUGGUAAGGAUGUUUGUUAAAUGCUCUAAAUGUAAAUAUGAUUGAGAGAGAGAUCAUUACUACUUCCUGUGUUUUCCUGUCCUUCAGUUCAUCCUUCUUUCUGCUGCUUUAUUGAAUUAAGUGAGAUAUAGCAUGGAGUCGUGUCUCUAAUAUUGAUUGAUUUCUUCACCUGAUGCCUCGAGCCUUUAAAGACCUACAAUUAUGGCUGCUAGAAACUACAUUUCCCAACAACACACACUGUCAUGUUCAUGUUCAGCUGAUUACUAAUCACCCACAACUGAGAACAUUCACACUGAACAAUUUAUAACAUCUUCAGUUUCACACUCUCACUGUGUAGAAAUAUUCAGUGUUCUUAUACCUGAUUUACAAAACUCUGGAUUUGGGGGUCUGCUAAAAGCUGUAAAUGUGUUUGUAUGGUUUGAACAUUGCAUGAACUUGGAUUGUGAUUACUGUAUAAAGGUAGUGGGCCAAGAAAACAUGAAUGUGUGUCAGAUUAAUUUUGUUUUGGGCAUCAGACAGUGUAAACCUGCCAAACACAUACUGUACAAAUAACUGUCUGAGACGAGUCGUUUGUCAUGAGUCAUAUGAAA